UGCACUUCUAAGGGAGCCCGGUAUAAUCUUGCUUAAGAAUAUCAUAUGGAUUUUUCCCUACUCCGAUCUUGCUGUUACAUGUUGUCGCAAUUCACGUGUGUUAAAUGGAUUGUCAAAAGAAUCACCUCAGGUAAGUUAAGGCUAUCCCUUCUUUCUUUUUUGCAUGAUCUAUACGACACGAAUGAAAUGAGCAAAUGCACAAAUUCCAUAAAUGGCUUUAUUCAUAGAAGUAUUAGAGAUGUUUAUGUUCUUGAAUUCCCAUAUGUCUUAUUAUUCUAUCGUUUGUUCAUGGGUCUUAGAAAAUAUGUAAGUUGAUAAUGUUUGUUUCAUGAUAUUAAUUAGAGGUAUAAUGGUCUUAUGACAUUCUGAGAGAUGUUACUGACGUACUUCUCAUGCAUUGUAUUCAUUUAUACAUGUACAUUGACCCAUGACCAGACGACGUUAUAUACGCGUAUAUAUAUAUAUGGGGGAUAUGGGAAAAGGUUAUGACAUUAUAUACGCAGCACCACUUGAUCAGCUAGUAUACGUUGAUGAUUUUGCCCACAGUGGCCGAGAUUGUCACGACCCAAACCGAUAGGCUGCAACGGGCACCCGGUACCUUACUCAACCGAGUACCAACGUAACGUAUCUUUCUUAUUACAUCAUCAUAUACACAUGACAUACGGGCCUAAUAGGCCAACAUGAUCCUUUAUAAACUCAAAACAUAGGCCAACAAGGCUGUAUAAUCUUUUACGUAUAUGACAUAUGUCUAGAAGCCUCUAAGAAUACAUAAAUAUCAUAAAGGCCGGGACAGAGUCCCGCCAUACCAAACAAUACACAUCUAAAUCAUACUAACCAAACGAGCAACUCCGAAGCAAAUGGAGCGCACCAACAUCUUCCGUUGAGCUGAUAGCCUACUUGGAGGGCUCUCGAGUGUCUAUCGGGACCUGCGGGCAUGAAACGCAGCGUCCCCAGGCAAAAUGGAUAUCAGUACGAAUAAUAUACGGAGUAUGUAAGGCACAUAAAUAAAUACAUAAGAGACAUGGAAGCUAUAUAGAGUACAUACUCAACCUGUAAGUCUGAAUAAUUUUGUAAAUCAUAAAUUACUUUUAGCGUCAUGCGUAUGCGUAUGAAUGUCAUGUCGUGCAUAGGUACAUGUUUUACAACAUCAUCAGCCUUUGAGGGCAUCCCAUCAUAUCAUAUCGGCCACUGUGGGCAAAAUCAUCAUCAUAUACCAGUUGAUCAGGUGGUGGUACGUAUAUAAUUCCAUAACCUUUUCCGCAUCCCAUAUACAUAUAUACAUACAUAUAUACGCGUAUAUAACGCCAUUUGAAUCAUAUUUAAGCCACUGUAGGCAAUAUCAUCAUCAUAUAUCAGCUGAUCAGGUGGUGGUGCGUAUAUAACGCCGUAACUUUUUCGCAUAUCACAUAUACAUAUAUUUACAUACAUAUAUACAUGUAUAUAAUGUCAUCUGGUCAUGGGUCAAUGCACAUGAAUGCAAUGCAUGAAAAGUACGUUAAUAAAAUCUUUCAGAAUCUUCAUAAGACCAUUUUGCCUUUGAGUAAUAUCAUAAAGUAAACUUUUUUCAACUUUCAUAUUUUUUUGAGACCCAUAAACAGAUGAUAAAAUAUUAUGACACACGAAAAUUCAAGAUCAUAGAUAUCUCUAAUACUUCUAUGAAUAGAGUCAUUCAUGUAAUUUGUGCAUUUGCAUGCUACGUUCGUAUCGUAUGUAUCAUGCCAAAAGAAAGAAGGGAUAACCUUAACAUACCUGGAAUAGAAACAACUCCUUAUAAUUAUCCCAUUAAGAACCUUCGUGGAUUGAAUUUAGAACCCAAAAAUUAGAUUUAAGCUUCUGCGUUUUGAAAUUGAAGAAGAAAUACAUCCUAUGAAGCUUUUUUGGAACGACUUUUAGCUUCUGUUCCUCACGUUUCUUGAACUAAUGUUUGGUAUAAUUGAUGAUUCAUGGGACGUUUGGGAUGCUAAGAAAUGCUAUAUCACAUUUUGGUUUAUUCAGAUUCUUAUAUUGAGAUAAAGACUUAAGAGUCUUAUCUUUGAUAAAGUUAACUUUAUUUAUACCUUAAACACAUAUCCAUAAUUAUGAGUCAUCUUUUUUAAAUUGGUGGCCUUGUGCCACGUGGAGAGUGGGUAAAGAUUACUAUCUUAUAUUGAGAUAAAGACUUAAGAGUCUUAUCUUUGAUAAAGUUAACUUUAUUUAUACCUUAGACACCUAUCCA
rnacentral:lncRNA from 1 species